UACGUAGGGUGCGAGCGUUAUUCGGAAUCACUGGGCGUAAAGCGUGCGUAGGCUGCCUAGAAAGUUGGGAGUGAAAGCCCAGGGCUCAACCCUGGAAUUGCUCUCAAAACUACUAGGCUCGGAUUCGGGAGAGGAUAGCGGAAUUGUCAGUGUAGCAGUGAAAUGCGUAGAUAUUGACAGGAACACCAGUGGCGCAAGCGGCUAUCUGGACCGACAUCGACGCUGAGGCACGAAAGCGUGGGGAUCAAACAGGAUUAGAUACCCUGGUAGU
rnacentral:rRNA from 1 species